rnacentral:rRNA from 1 species
GUGGGGAAUAUUGGACAAUGGGCGAAAGCCUGAUCCAGCCAUGCCGCGUGUGUGAAGAAGGUCUUCGGAUUGUAAAGCACUUUAAGUUGGGAGGAAGGGCAGUAAGUUAAUACCUUGCUGUUUUGACGUUACCGACAGAAUAAGCACCGGCUAACUUCGUGCCAGCAGCCGCGGUAAUACGAAGGGUGCAAGCGUUAAUCGGAAUUACUGGGCGUAAGGCGCGCGUAGGUGGUUUUGUAAGUUGGAGGUGAAAUCCCCGGGCUCAACCUGGGAACUGCCUCCAAAACUGCAUGACUAGAGUACGGUAGAGGGUAGUGGAAUUUCCUGUGUAGCGGUGAAAUGCGUAGAUAUAGGAAGGAACACCAGUGGCGAAGGCGACUACCUGGACUGAUACUGACACUGAGGUGCGAAAGCGUGGGGAGCAAACAGGAUUAGAUACCCCUGUAGUCC